rnacentral:rRNA from 1 species
UACGAAGGGGGCUAGCGUUGUUCGGAAUUACUGGGCGUAAAGGGCGCGUAGGCGGUGUGUCAAGUCAGGCGUGAAAGCCCCGGGCUCAACCUGGGAACCGCGCUUGAGACUGGCACGCUAGAGUUCGGGAGAGGAUGGUGGAAUUCCCAGUGUAGAGGUGAAAUUCGUAGAUAUUGGGAAGAACACCGAUGGCGAAGGCAGCCAUCUGGGACCGACACUGACGCUGAGGCGCGGAAAGCGUGGGGAGCAAACAGGAUUGAG